UCACAACCUGCAUUUGGUGGACAUUGUGGAAGGAAAGGAAUGAAAGAUCACAUGAUGGGAAACUUAACAACACUCAAAAAAUCAAGAUGAAUAGCUUGAGCUUGCUGUAUUUUUGGUGUAAACAGGAUUUGGUGGGGGAGGUAGAUAGCUUAGUGGAUUUUAGAGCUCAAUUGUAAAGUUUUUGCCCAGUUUCGGCUUUUGAAACUACCCCCUGUGGGGUUGUAAAUCCCACCUCAUCAUGCUCUGCUGAUGAGUUUUGACGUGAAUAUAAAGUUACCUUUAUCAAAAAAA